AUUGUUUUAUAUAAUCUCUAUCAGAAAGGAGCUCAGUAUACAGUUACCGAAUAUCUGUGACUAUUUUCGAGCAUACUAAACAGCUGAAAAUAAUCACAGUAUUUGUAAAAUCAAACGUUGUUUUGCUUAUCUAAAAAGAUUAAAAUAAAACUUAUCGAUCUGCCAAGAUGUGCUAUCCAUGUUGCGGUUCCUGCGGCCCCUGCUGUGGUCCCUGCGGUCCCUGUGGAUCAUGUGGUCCAUGUUGUGGUCCCUGCGGCCCUUGUUGCUAUAAACGACAUGGCCUUGAACCGAAAUGUACUCCUGGCUUCUGUAGAUCGUGUUAUUAACUAUUUUUCUUAUAUAUAUCUUCGGAACAAAAUUUAAGAAAUAUGCAGCGCUAAAAAAAAAAAAUUUUAGGUAGACCUCUUGCUUUGUAACUGUAUAUGAAAUAAAUAGCAAAUUGAUGACACCAAA
rnacentral:sRNA from 1 species